AGCCUGUUCCCUUCAUCCACAGCGAUCCUGUUUUGAAGGUUGACCAUUGCAAUAUCGCUUUAGGUUUUGACCCCAAACGGGGUUUCAUCUCUGAACCAGGCCCAAUGUGUUGUUUACACCUCCAGACUGACCGUGGGCUUUAUGGAGUGUGUUAAACCUCAGCUCAGAAUUCUUCCUCUGUGUGUUUAUGGACAGGACAUUCAUAUCAUAAAAGGCUAGUCAUAAGCAGUUAUAACUACAAGAAUGGAGAGGGACACUCGUCCUCUUCUCCUCUCCUCCUACCCACACACUCACUCGCACACACACACACACACACACACACACACACACAGACACACACACGCUGGCUCCAGAGAACCCCUUUCUGUGACAGUGGCCCCCCUGCACACGCAUCAGUGCAGGCUGGGGUCACCCUGUCACCCUCUAACACAGGGUUAGUUGAGAGGUCCUGUUGGGCCUCCUGUCCUCUCUACUCCCCCGUGUGUCUCCCCUCUCUGUCCUCUGUGUGCCCCCUGAACCGCUCUCUACUUCCCCCUGACCUUUCUCUCCCAUCAACCCCAGAGCUACCCACAUAGAGGGUCAUCCAGUUAUAUGAAACUACAAAUGCAUCUGCAGCACUCCUACUGUACAGAGAGCCAGAGACGGGGAGAGUUUGAAGGGGUCUCAAUACUAAUGGAAAUAGACUAGGGACUGGAUGUGUGCUUGUGCCUUCGUGUUCUCCUGUUCCCAGAGUAUUCUGUGUUUUACGGCUUAUCUGUGUUGUAUCUGGCUGCUACUAGAGAGCCUGUUUAUAUUACGGAUCCCAGACAGCGGUGAGAGAUGACCUGCCACUCUGUACCCGCUUUCCUUCCCAAACUGUCCCCUCUCCUCCGUGUCCCCCCCCCCUCACUCCUACAGCUCUGCUAUCAACUACUCGCAACUAGUUAUCUCUCACUCGGCUCAAGUUACUCUGUGAUUGACUUGUUUUCCCUAACCCCUUACAAUUACAUUAAGUACUGCAUGAAAUGAUUAGCGUUUGGAAUGGAGUUGCUUUUGGGACUUGUGAGAAGAUCUAGACAACUUUCAUUAGCAUGUGUUCCAUACGUUUGACAUCCCGGGCCUACAUUUAGAUUGUAGUACAGAGACAAUGGAGGUGGUAGUAGUAGGGGAGAGAAACGGAUUCUCUGCUGGUACUGGACACUGGACAGUAGAGAAGUGAUAGAUAGAGGGAAUAGAUGGGUAGUUCUGGUCCUAGUGGUUGUGUGUGCUCCUCUACUACAGCCCUGAUGCCAGAUGGAAGCUCUCCCGCCGCUCGGCUUUGCUCUGCGCUGGCCGGGUCAUUUCCUGUCAGGAGGCCUGGUGUUAAUCAAGCCCUGAGCCAGGGGGAACGCCCUCCAGACCCCCUUUUACUCCCCUAGUACUGCUACCCCUCUCCUCCACAGCCUUUACUGCUCCCCUCGCUUCCCUCUAUUGCUACCCCUCUCCUCCUCUCCAAUUCCUCACUGGAUCAGCAGGCACAACAUGCUCAUCUAAGCGCUCGUCCCCACAGACCUUAGGACAGGGAUAUACAAUACCAAUAUCAGUAAACUUGUGACUCAUUCAAACCCACUAUUCCACAGUAAUAGCUCCUCUGUUACACUGUUCCUUAGAAAUAACAGACAGGGGUCAAUCUGUUUCAGCAUCGUUGGUGUAGCUGCUUCCAGCUGUGCCCUCAGCAGCGCCUCCCUCAGGUGGAGGAGAGAGAGAGCAGCUGUCAGUUGGUUCUCCCAGCAGCAGCAGUCAGUACCUAGAGAGAGAUGAGUGUUCUUCCUGUGCUGUUGCUGUUCCACUACCACAGAGGAAGGGGAUCCAGGGACUCUGAUAAGCUCUGUUGGUGUGGUAAUCCUGAGGAGCUGACUAUGGAGAGGGCCCAUACAGCAGUGGAGGGGGUGUUUGAGACCAUGCCCGAGACCACCUCAUACAGUUCACCUCUGUCUACACAGCCAGCGAUGGAGUACAUCAGGCGAGCCGGCCACACCCCAGCGACCACGGCCUGCUCUUUCUCUUCCUGGUGGGAGGAGUCACUCCCUCUGAGCUGCGCCUGAUCCGCAAGGUAGUCUCCACCCACAAGCCGGGCACUCAGGUGCUGGUCCUCUCUACCAGACUGUUGAGACCUACAGACGUCCCCGAGCUGCUCUUCACCACCCAAAGACUGGUGCCAGACAUUGGUGUGUGAGCACGGAACAAGGACCACACACACACGCACGCGCACGCACACACACACACACACACACACACGCACGCACGCACGCACGCAGGCACACACACACACACACGCACACACACGCACACACACGCACACACUCCACCAACACCUACCACUCUUAGGGUGUGGAGAGGAGAAAUGAGAGGCUCCAGUGAGAUUGUGUGGUUUGGUAAUGGACUGGAGUCAUGGGUGGGUGUGGAGAGGAGAAAUGAGAGGCUCCAGUGAGAUUGUGUGGUUUGGUAAUGGACUGGAGUCAUGGGUGGGUGUGGAGAGGAGAAAUGAGAGGCUCCAGUGAGAUUGUGUGGUUUGGUAAUGGACUGGAGUCAUGGGUGGGUGUGGAGAGGAGAAAUGAGAGGCUC